UGUUUUCUUUACAGGUCACAGCAGCCAUGCCUGACUGGUUUUUAGGUCCCACAUUUAGCGAUAAAUUUAACAAAUAGACUGAUCUUCAUGUAAUUUUCUGAACUUUUGAUAAGACUGAAUAAUAUGGAAUAAUUUUUCUGACUUUUCUAAAGAUGCAUCUGCUGGGUUUUAAGAUUUUUAUCAAAUUUGCUUAGAGUCUGCUAAUUAAAAAAGAAAAAAACAUAUGAAAGAAAAUCUACAUUUAACUUAACUGAAAUCUUUUUAUAUAAAAUCUUAAUGCUUUGUUGUCUUUGUGAUGUAGAAGUGAUAGUAGUUGUAUAAAGACAGGUUUUACAAAAAAUGUACUUUACCAAAGGGAGAUUUUUGGGAUGAGACCAAUUUUUACAACACAGGACAACAAUAGGAGGACUCCCGUCAAAAUGAACCUUAUAUUAGCUAAAUGCAAUGACUUUACUAUAAAUAAUCAAAACAAAAAAAAAUCAGAUUGAAGUAUUUCUUUUUAAUGUGUGAAGGAAUCAUAAGAAUGAAUAGUGGGAAGUUAAAUUAAUGGCAGUAGAGUUUCAACGGGUCAAUUCUCUUCUGGACAUUAUUUACCAUCAUGCACUUUUUGAUAUUCUUAAUCAAACUGACACCUUAUCGCACGCCCCACAACACUGCAGAGUUGCAUUAGGAGAUAAUAUCUCCAUCUAUCUUUCUCCCAUCUUUUACAAGCAUUGUUGUUGAGGCUGGCACAGCGGGUGGUUGACAGUGAUGAGAGGUGUUUGGAAAUGCUGUGUUCCUGUGUGUGUCAGCAGCAGUGAUACACUUAUCUCAGAAACAAAGCUUCAUAUCUUUGGUUUUAGAUUUCAAAUUCAAUUCUAGAGUAUUUGGAGAAAAUAGCAUGUGGUAAUCUUUGAAGUAAAGCUGGAAAACAGUUUCAUAUUGAGACAAAUGCACCCGGGCUGCUUUUUGAAGGUUGGAUUACAGGUGUGUAAAAUUAACCUUAAUUUUGAAUUUUAAAAGGCAUUAAACCAUAAAAAAUAUUAAUAAUUUCAAACUCAUCCGUUCAUAUUUGUUUUGCUAAAAUCAAUGACAGGUCUUCAUUUAUUCCAGCCAGAUUUGCAGUUGGUCUUUUAUCAGAAACAGAUUUUAGAUUAAAUGCACCUCUUCCAAAUAAACCACUCACUAAUUCAGCCAUUUUUUAUAACAUAUGACAACAUAACUUGCAGAGAAAAAAUGUAGGCUUCAGAUGAAUGUGUGUGUUUUUUUUACAGAUUUGGAAUCUUAUCACCACCCAUGGAUGGAUGGACAGGAAAUAAAUAUUUUUCUUCUUGAUAUCAAAGACUAUUAAAGCAUUUUGGAGAAAACCAAGUGGAAAGACUCCUUUCUGCAACCAAACGCCCACAAUUUAAUAAGCAGGAGAAAAAAAGGACUGAGACACAAACACAGCAAAAAAGAAGAAACCAGGCAACUACAGACACCAGGAGGCAAAGGGUUAAACAAGACCCCCUCGUAUUUUCAUGCAUCUUCUGCUUUUGACAGAUGAAAAAUGUCAACUGUCCUGUUUGUAUUUGGGAGUUUUUGCACUAUUCAUCUGCUUCAUUAGUGCCUGCUGCUCCUAGCCCCUGACAGCUGCCGGCCCCCUGCUCACAGUGUAUACACACACACACACAAACACACACGAACAAAAGCAUAAAGAUGCAUCCACACACACACACAGAAGAUAUCCACACUUGCACUAUUUUUUUAGAUUGUGUUGUCGCAGCUGUUUAGAUGAUUGACUCCUUCCCUGACCUCAGAGGCCCUAGUGUGUUACAGUGUGUGUGUGUCACUGUGUGUGUGUGUGUGUGUGUCACUGUGUGUGCAAGUAUAUGGUUCAUUGAUAUUCGAGAGACAUAUAAUGCACACGCAUGCCUGCUGUCUGUCUGUGUGAGCUGCUGGUGGCAAGAGAUGUGCACAUUCUUAAAACUACGUGCUCACAGGUUUUCAGCCCUGUUUUUGUGAGGACCCUCACCCACAUGAUUUCUACCAUGUUCCCAGCUUCGUCCCAACAGUCACAACUAAAAACAUCAACUCCAUUACUUGAUCCUGAAACACUGAGUUUUUUUAACCUUGAAUAUCCAAUUGAAACGGCUGAAACUGAUAAAUACCACAAUGUAUUGUGUGUGUUCAAAAGCUCACAAUUGGGCUUUUCCUUUCCUAGUUUACACCUGAUCCUGUUUUUUUUGCAUUACUGCUAUGAGCUGAACAGUUAGAACAAAAAGGCUUAAAAAACAUCAGACAUUCUGUCAUAGUAAUAAAAAAGACAGUCUUUCAUCAAAUUUAAGAAAAAGGUUCUAUCGUACACCACUAGAAAGAGUCAGACUUAAGUGAAGGUUCAGAUUUCAGCUCCAGGUUCAUAACUCUUAAGCCAGUUUUCUGUAUAGUUUAACAGGAACGUGAUGGACUGGUGACCUGUCCACAGUGUACUCCAACUUCCCCAACCAUAGCUGGUAUAGGCUCCAGCAACCUAGUGAUCCCAAAAGGGAUUAAGUGGGCUUGGACUACAGAUGGAUGGCUUAAUAUGAUUUUUGGUCAAAACAGAACCCAAAUUCACUACCCCGUCGUGAAUAGAUCAAGCUGGCAGCGCAAAAAGUCCAACAACAAACCUUUGCGAGAAUGAGGGAAUCGAAGCAAAAAAAAGUUUCAUAUUAUGAAAGUCAAGGUUUAAUUAAAAGAUUAUUUUAAACAUGUUAUGCAGUGCGAUAAUUUCUUGUCCAGCUGUUAGCACACUGUACUGUGUAGCCCAGUCGAAAAUUUGAAAGAAAGAAAAAAGAAAUAAAUUUUAGACUAGGCCACUGAAAGAUUAAAAUUUAUUUUUUGAAAAAAAAAAAAAAGUUCAAUGGCCACUUGUUUGGGUUUGUUUAACAAGUUUUCUUAUUCCAUUGGGAAUGAAGUUAUUUUGGUUUUGUAUGUUGUAAAAAUUGAUUUUGCCCCACAGCCUAACCUGUAUGUAUUUUUUGUUAAGUCUGAAAUUUGAUUUGUUAUGUUACCUGUCCGUAUAAUGAGCCAUCCAUUCAGAGAUAAGUGGGUGUGUCUAAGAGGUGCAAUCGAAAACAAACGUUUCACUAACGGGCAGAGACAGUCAGACCUUGGUGAGGAGCGGAGCUGACGCUGAAGGCUACGAUUUUUUCAAGUUCGACGCAGAGUCAACUUUCUGUUAAAAUUGUGGACACUGUUUGUCAUGUAAGUAAUGAGUUUUUUGAUGUGUUUAAACUGCUCGUUUGGCACCAUGGCUACAUAUUACAAAAUGCAGCCGAAUGCUAAUUGCGACUAGCUUUAGCAUAUUAAGUGUAACGUGGUGGGAUAGUUUCUCACUGUGCUAGGUAAAAGUAACCCAAAAUGAAUUCUCAAAGUUCUAAAUGGGACUUUUAUGCAAUUGACCAUAGACGAGUCUUUUUUGGACCCUGUGGAAGACUGAGCACCUGUGGAGGACCGAGCACCCGUGGAAGAUCGAGCACACCCUGCCGGUCGUCUGAGCGAUUCCAACCCCCAGGCCUCAGAGAUUCCCGCCUCCGCUGUCCUGCUGUGCAGCUGGAUGACGCUGAGUUUGCCUGCAGAGCAUUUUCGCCCGCCAACAGUUGCCCUAACCAUCCGAUAAGUGAGUACGUGCACGUUUUUUUUUUCUGCUUGCUUAGCAAGUGAAAGGGCCCUCUUCAGUUUUUGGCCACAACGCACCCGAGCAUCGAUCAGGCCUGCAACAAAAAAAAAAAAAAAGUAAAAAGGGGACUAUACCAAUAUUUUGUUGCUGUGUUUUCAGUGUAAGGAACUGAUUUUUUUCUUUUUUUUUUCCCACCUCUUCUUAAUUAACGUAAACUGUAUUUUUUAUUUAUUUUAACUGUGUGUGGGGGUUAAUUUAAAAUAAAGGAAAAAAAUAAUAAAAUAAGGUUGUAAUGUUUAAAUUCAAAUUAUUCUUAGUAGGAAAAUUCUAAUGUUAAAUUCCUGUUAAGUGGAGGCACCGCCGAUUUCCAGUAUUGUUUUUUGUAUUAAAUUAAGUGUUUUUUGUAUUUCCUGUUACCCCUAACUAAAUCAAAUUAGACGAAUCCAGGACACCGCCCUUAGUAAUACGACUUAAUAACAGAGGGUUAUUCGUCUAGUUACAUGGGAUAGGUGUUACACAAUUGGAGGCACCGCUGGGAUUCAAAUAAUAAAAUUUAUAUGUCAUUGGCUCUUUUGAAAACAAAACAAUGGCCUUUAAACAAAAUCACAGUGUUCCAAAUGUAAGCAACUGGUGUAGAGGUGAAGGUGUGGAUACGUCACAUGCUCUAAUGGCAAUGGGUAUUUCUGAAGAAACUCCGGUUGACACUGUUGAACUUGCACUCGAAACCAUAAAAGCUAUUGGCAAAGUGAGAGUACGAGGCAAAAUGUUUGAUCCAGAUAGCAACACAGUAACUGUGCUUUGCGAAUGCCGAGAAGAAAUAGAUUCAACUAAGGUUCCUACCGAACUGGUUGUCGAUGAAGGUGUUAAGUGGACUUUAGUUACUGUUGAACGAGAACAGAGUUCUGGUUUAUUCUCAGAAAAACUGGUCAAGUUUCUCCAAGAUGAAGGAAAAUCUCUUGAUGAUGUAACUCAGCUAUGUAGUCCCGUUCUUUCUGCGAACCAAAAUGCUGAAUCUGUCAUUCGUGCAUUGAAUGAUUUAGCACAGUCACCCAAAAACAAUGAACAUAGUUCCUACAGGCGUCUAAGAACAUUUUCUGGAGUCCAUCCUACUCCACCUGGAGAAGAUAACUUGGAUAACUGGAUGGAACAAGCUAAGUUCAUGGUGGAUGAAUAUGAGUACACAGACAGGGAGAAAAAACGAAGAAUCGUUGAAAGUCUCAAAGGACCAGCUUUGGAGAUCAUCCAAGCUGUGCGCAUGUCAAAUCCUGACGCAACUCAUAUGGAUUACAUUGAAGUCCUCGAGAGUACUUUUGGAACUGUAGAGUCAGGUGAAGAACUGUAUUUUACAUUCAAAGCUCUUCACCAAAAGCCGAAUGAGUGCCUGUCAGAUUUCUUGCUCAGAUUAGAACGAACAUUGAAUAAGGUUGUGAAAAGGGGAGGCCUAAACGUCCAUGAAGUCAAUAAAGCUAGACUAGAGCAACUCAUUAAGGGUGCCACUGAGUCUGAUAUAAUGCUACUUAAUCUAAAUCUUAGAGAGAGGCGAAGUGCCCCCCCAUCAUUUCUCAGUUUACUCAAAGAGAUUCGUGAAGAAGAGGAGCAUGAAUUAGCCAGACAAAAGCUCAAAAAGCCAUCAAAACAGUAUGUUCGCAGUGUACAAACCACUGAGUCGGAGCAUAAAAAAAAUGAGUCAGCUGAUCUUCAAACAGAAGUUCAAGAACUUAAGGAAAAAUUAAAAGCACUAAAUAAACAGUCAACAGCAAGCAAACAAGGGUCCAAAAAAGAAAAAAAAUGCAAAGCAGAAUCCGAUGAAGUGCAAAAACUGAAAAGGGAAGUUAAAGCUCUCCAAAAUCAGAUAAAUGUAAUGUCAGUAAAGCCAAAAACAUAUACAACAGACACGGGUUACUACCCCAGAUACAAGACUGAGUGCAGUGCUAAACCUGCUCAGUCAAAACCAAAUAAUACAAAAGAGUCUGAUUAUUUUUGUUAUCAUUGCGGAGAAAACGGACACAUUGCUCCAAAAUGUACGGCUCCGGAAAACUCGCAAAAAGUGAUACAAAAACUCAUAAGACAAGCCCGACGUGGUACUGAUGCCCCUAGAGAAAGAAAGAAGGAUCAAAAAGAGCAUAUUGCUCAUGUCAAUAAAACCAGCGUACCCAUUCAUAACUCAGACAUCCCUCCGGGUCUGAUUGGUCCAUCUUCUAUUGCCGAAAUCAAAGUCAACAACAUUUCCUGCAAAGGUCUUAUGGAUUCCGGGUCCACAGUGACCAUUAUCUUUGAGGAUUGGUAUAAGAGAAAUAUCUCACACAUACCUCUCCAACCAAUUUCCAGUCUCGCGAUCUGGGGUUUAUCUGCAGAGUCAUAUCCCUACUGUGGCUGCGUAGUCGUGGAAAUGGAAUUUCCUGAAGAUGUGACUGGUGUUAAAGGGCCAGUUACUGUUUUAGCCCUCAUCUGUCCUGAACCUCGUCAAGGUCAUGAAACUCCAGUUGUUGUGGGUACAAAUGCUUUUCUUUUCCGCAGGCUCUUUCAGAUUUGCAAGGAAAAUAACAGUGAAUGUAAAAUCAGCUCUAUGAGAGUUAAAGCUGUUUACGAUCAAAUAAAAGUUCAGCCACCGCAGUCAAAUACAGAAGAAAAACCAAUCGGACAAGUUAAAUGGCCGGGACCAGGUCCACUUACUCUAGCUCCCGGUGAAAAGUUUAAGGCUACGUGCACCAUCGAGCAUAGAGCUACAAACUCGCAAGAUGUAGUACUGGUUGAAGCUCCCGUUGUUUCUCAACUUCCCUCUGGUGUGUUAGUACAACCAGGUGUUCUUCUGGAGAGUGAUAUUGAUGAGAACAGUUUCACUGUGCUUUUGCAAAAUGAGUCAGAGAAGCCCACCUGCAUUCAGGUUGGGACUGUUGUUGCAGAAAUGCACACUGUUGACAUUGUCACAAAUCCACAAGCCCUGGAGUCAAAGCAUACUGCUUUAGACGCCAACCUUUUUGAUUUUGGUGAUUCUCCUGUCUCGGAAGAAUGGAAAAACAGACUAAGACAAAAGUUAAUGGCACGACGCAAUGUUUUUUCCCUUGAUGAAUGGGAUGUGGGACUAGCAAAAGAUGUUGAACACAAAAUCCGAUUAAGUGACUCAACCCCUUUCCGAGAAAGGUCGCGACGUUUAGCUCCAGCUGACAUUGACGAUGUGAGAAAACACUUGCAGCAGUUGAUAAAGGCAGGUGUUAUCAAAGAGUCUCGCAGCCAAUACGCAUCACCAAUAGUAGUUGUGCGUAAAAAGAACGGUUCGAUCAGAAUUUGCAUUGACUACAGAACCCUAAACAGUCGGACUAUACCUGAUCAAUACACCAUUCCGCGUGUAGAUGACGCCUUGGAUUGCCUUACUGGUAGUAAAUGGUUCUCCGUUUUGGAUCUCCGAAGUGGUUAUUAUCAAAUAGCCAUGUCGGAAGAAGACAAGGAAAAAACUGCAUUUAUCUGCCCCCUCGGAUUUUACCAGUUUGAGCGCAUGCCUCAAGGAAUUACCGGAGCUCCAGCUACUUUUCAGCGGCUGAUGGAGAAAGCUGUUGGUGAUAUGCACCUGCUCCAAGUCAUCGUGUAUCUGGAUGACAUCAUCGUGUUUGGCAAAACGCUCGAAGAACACGAGCAACGUCUCCUAAAAGUAUUAGAUCGACUCGAAGAGUAUGGUCUCAAAGUGUCCAUUGACAAAUGUCAGUUUUGUCAGUCUCAAGUAAAAUAUGUCGGACACAUAGUGUCAGAAAAAGGCAUUGCGACUGAUCCCGAAAAAGUUGCGGUAGUUACAAACUGGCCUGAACCAACAGAUCUCAAGACCCUAAGAUCUUUUCUUGGUUUCUGCGGGUACUACCGCAGAUUUAUAGCCAACUACUCAAGCAUAGUCCGUCCCCUAACUGAACUCACCAAAGGCUAUCCACCUACGCAAAAAAAUAAGAAAAACAAACCAAAAGAUUCCUCCAAGAGUUAUUUCAAACCAUCUGAGCCAUUCAAAGAACGCUGGGAUGAGGCUUGUCACAAAGCGUUCGAAACAAUAAUCCACCAUUUGACAAAUGCCCCGGUGUUGGCCUUCACGGAUCCCACCAAACCUUAUAUUUUGCACGUAGACGCGAGCAUGAAUGGUUUAGGUGCUGUCCUUAACCAAGAGCACCCUGAAGGUCUUAAACCAGUCGCAUUUGCUAGCAGAAAACUAAGCGACUCUGAGCGAAACUACCCGGUACAUCAACUUGAAUUUUUGGCUUUGAAAUGGUCCGUUGUCGAUAAAUUUCAUGAUUACCUCUAUGGUGCAAAAUUCACCGUCAGAACAGACAACAAUCCGCUGACUUACGUACUGACAACGGCCAAACUAAAUGCAGUUGGACAUCGCUGGCUUGCAGCAUUAGCCACGUAUGAUUUUAACAUCCAAUAUCGGCCCGGUCGUCACAACAUCGACGCCGACCUCUUAUCACGUCAGUAUAGUGAUACAAACCAAUGGACAGAUGUGCCUAAAUCAGCAAUAAAAGCUAUUUGUAAAAAAGAAACCUCAGCCAACUCAUCCAGAUUUGCUGAUCAAUUGGGUGUCCCCCCAGCAGCGAUCCCAGAAGCUUAUGCUUUUCCAGUUAGUUUGAGCGCACAGUUUAUUGAUCAACUGUCACCCAAAGAGCUCCAAGUUGCUCAAGAUCUUGACUUAGUCAUUGGUCCUGUCAAACAAGCCAUUCAUUCAGGCAAACAGGCUGUCGUAACCAAGACGGAUUCCCCUGACAUAACAUUAUUAUCGCGUGAAAGACCCCGCCUCAAGUUAAACGAAGGACUGCUGUACCGAUUGAGAAAAAUACCAAACGGUACAGAAAACAAACAGUUGCUUUUGCCAGAACGAUAUCGAACUAGUGUUAUGAAAUCACUACAUGAUGAUUGUGGACAUCUUGGAGUAGAAAAAACCUCAGAACUGCUCAAAGAUCGAUUUUAUUGGCCACGCAUGAAUGCCGAUGUGGAUCAAUACAUUAAGACAUGUGGACGCUGUAUUUCACGAAAAACUCUUCCACAACGUUCCUCACCUCUUAAUCAAAUCACGAGCAAUGGUCCAUUAGAUCUUGUUUGUAUUGAUUUUCUCCAAAUUGAGCCAGACAACAAAGGUAUUCAAAAUGUGCUUGUAGUAACUGAUCAUUUCACUCGUUACGCACAGGCAUUUCCAACUAAAGACCAGAAGUCAGUUACUGUCGCAAAAGUACUGUGGGAAAAGUAUUUUGUCCACUAUGGAUUGCCCGCCAGAAUACAUUCAGAUCAAGGUAGAGAUUUUGAGAGCCGACUCAAUAAAGAGCUACUCUCUAUGCUCGGCAUUCGAAAAUCCCGCACAUCUCCUUAUCAUCCCCAAGGCGAUGCGCAACCUGAACGGUUCAACAGAACACUUCUUUCAAUGCUGGGAACACUGGAAAACAUAAAGAAACAUAACUGGAGUCAACAUAUUGGUCAGUUAGUACAUGCGUACAACUGUUCAAAAAAUGAAUCAACCGGAUAUUCGCCAUACUUUUUAAUGUUCGGUCGAAACGCCAGAUUGCCCAUCGACAUCUGUUUUGAUGCAGCGUUUGAGAAAAACACAGAAAACUCCCAUUUACAAUACGUUGAAAAAAUGAAAAAAGAACUGAAACAUGCCUAUCAUCUAGCAACAGAGAGUGCAACUAAAAACCAUCUUAGAAACAAAUCUAGAUAUGAUCAACGUGUGAUAGACCAACCACUACAAGAAGGUGACAGAGUUCUUAUUAGAAAUGUUGGCCUUACUGGAAAACACAAGCUGCAAGACAGAUGGAAGCCAAUCCCGUACGUUGUAGUAAGAAAACUACCAAAUCUACCCGUCUAUAAAGUCGAACCUGAACAAGGACCAGGAAGUGUCAAAACUUUGCAUAGAGAUCAUCUACUUCCUAUUGGUUACCUUGUCAGGAUUCCAGAAAUUUCAAAAGCAACCAAAAGUGUCAACCCUCCGAUCACAAGACAGAGACAAAAAUAUCGUCAAAGUGAAAGUUACUCCCACUCUGGGAUGAGCAACUCUUCUUCAGACUCAGAGUAUGCGUGCGAGUACCCCAAAAAGGACCAAGUUCAAAGAUUAGUCCAAAGAUCUCUAGGAUCAGUGUCCGACAAAUCAAACUGUGACAAGUCCUCCUCUGGGGGUGAACCAGAACAUGAAACAAAUGAAAAUAAUCAUAAUGAAAGUGAACAUUCAGACUUUGAACCUGAAACGAAUGAAGAAGAAACAGACACAGACACAAAUGUUGAGAGUUCAAAACACAGGAAAUCAACUCGAGAAGUGAAGCCAGUCAUUCGAUUGAGUUAUGACAAACCUGGAAAACAAACUGAGGAACCUGUAACCAUAGUUCAUCAUGGUAUGGUUAUUCAGUUGAACCUUAGUUCGCAUGACAAUCUUCCCAAACCUAAGAAACACCUUAAAUCUUUGUAUAGAUAUUGACAUUAGAUGAGGACAUCUAAACCUUUUAGAACGGGGAGAGUGUAGCCCAGUCGAAAAUUUGAAAGAAAGAAAAAAGAAAUAAAUUUUAGACUAGGCCACUGAAAGAUUAAAAUUUAUUUUUUGAAAAAAAAAAAAAGUUCAAUGGCCACUUGUUUGGGUUUGUUUAACAAGUUUUCUUAUUCCAUUGGGAAUGAAGUUAUUUUGGUUUUGUAUGUUGUAAAAAUUGAUUUUGCCCCACAGCCUAACCUGUAUGUAUUUUUUGUUAAGUCUGAAAUUUGAUUUGUUAUGUUACCUGUCCGUAUAAUGAGCCAUCCAUUCAGAGAUAAGUGGGUGUGUCUAAGAGGUGCAAUCGAAAACAAACGUUUCACUAACGGGCAGAGAUAGUCAGACCUUGGUGAGGAGCGGAGCUGACGCUGAAGGCUACGAUUUUUUCAAGUUCGACGCAGAGUCAACUUUCUGUUAAAAUUGUGGACACUGUUUGUCAUACGAGUCUUUUUUGGACCCUGUGGAAGACUGAGCACCUGUGGAGGACCGAGCACCCGUGGAAGAUCGAGCACACCCUGCCGGUCGUCUGAGCGAUUCCAACCCCCAGGCCUCAGAGAUUCCCGCCUCCGCUGUCCUGCUGUGCAGCUGGAUGACGCUGAGUUUGCCUGCAGAGCAUUUUCGCCCGCCAACAGUUGCCCUAACCAUCCGAUAAGUGAGUACGUGCACGUUUUUUUUUUCUGCUUGCUUAGCAAGUGAAAGGGCCCUCUUCAGUUUUUGGCCACAACGCACCCGAGCAUCGAUCAGGCCUGCAACAAAAAAAAAAAAAAA